AGCGUCCCAGUUCGGAUUGUAGUCUGCAACUCGACUACAUGAAGCCGGAAUCGCUAGUAAUCGCGGAUCAGAAUGCCGCGGUGAAUACGUUCCCGGGUCUUGUACACACCGCCCGUCACACCAUGGGAGCCGGAAAUGCCCGAAGUCAGUGACCCAACCAAUUAAGGAGGGAGCUGCCGAAGGCAGGUCUGGUGACUGGGGUGAAGUCGUAACAAGGUAUC
rnacentral:rRNA from 1 species